rnacentral:rRNA from 1 species
AGUGAACGCUGGCGGUAGGCCUAACACAUGCAAGUCGAACGGCAGCACAGUAAGAGCUUGCUCUUACGGGUGGCGAGUGGCGGACGGGUGGGGAAUACAUCGGAAUCUACUUUUUCGUGGGGGAUAACGUAGGGAAACUUACGCUAAUACAGCAUACGACCUACGGGUGAAAGCAGGGAAUCUUCGGAAUUUGAUCGAUAGAAUGUGCAGAUGUCGGAUUAGCUAGUUGGCGGGGUAAAGGCCCACCAAGGCGACGAUCCUUAGCUGGUCUGAGAGGAUGAUCAGCCACACUGGAACUGAGACACGGUCCAGACUCCUACGGGAGGAGGCAGUGGGGAAUAUUGGACAAUGGGCGCAAGCCUGAUCCAGCCAUACCGCGUGGUGGAAGAAGGCCUUCGGUUGGUAAAGCCCGUUUGUUGGGAAAGAAAAGCAGCAGGUUAAUACCCCGCUGUUCUGACGGUACCCAAAGAAUAAGCACCGGCUAACUUCGUG